AACCUCCUAUCCGCCUUAUCCCUUUUCCUUAUGCGUUGGAGUGCUGGAAACCAAAGCUAAAUGCUUAGCACCUUCAUCCUUCAACCAAACCCAGCUUCUAGCUUUCCAUUCGAACCGUGAGCCCUCAAAGAAGAAUACAAAUUAAACAUGAAUAUUGACUCCACUAAAUCAGAAAUGAACCCCAACACCUCUUCCCCUCCUUAUUUCCUCCUCACCGCCGCGAGCAUCAAGAGAAGAUACAAAGGAAAACAAGGCUUGAAUCUCCUUCCACAUCGUCACUUCCACAAGUUGUGAGCUUCCUAAGAGAUAACAAAAACAGCAAGCACACUCAUUCCCUCCUUCACAGUUCGGCGGUGUACCAUUAAGCAAGAGGUGAAGUAUCUUUUCUACUUCCUUGCCUCUCCUUCAUCCCUUUGAUUUGGUGAGGAUUUCCCUUGCAUGUUCAUGAUCCGGUCUGAUUUAGUGCUUCCUUUUUCCUUGCAUGCAAAUGGUGACUCGAGCUUCAUCUUUACUCCUCCUUUCCUUGGACACACGGCCAAACCGAGUGGGAGAGGCAUAAAACCGUUAUUUUGCAGAAUGGGAAGAUGAGGGAAAUUGUACAGCAUUCGACUGCUAUCUUCCCUAGUCGGUUUGGGUACCUAUUAGUAGAAGUUCAUAAACCUCAAGGAUGUUGGACGGACUUGGGGCUGUUUUGAUUAGAAAGCUAAAGUAUCAGGAGGACUUAGAAGCAUUUGAAGAGGUGUUUGAUGACAUGAUCACAUGAAUAAUUCUGUUUAAGUUAUGUUGUUGGCAACCUUGCUGUUUGCUCGCAGUUUCUGCUAAUUGUAUUCUGAGUAUUUGACCUUGAUGUAGUUUCUUAAAGAAUGGCAUGCUAUGAUGUAUAUUCUGUUUUGAAAAGAAGUGUAGCAUGAUGUUUAUAUUGCUGGUAUUUAGUUGCGAAAUAAUUGCUGUUGUACUUGAAUUUGGAUUUUUGAACUGUUUUAGCGAGCACCUUGCGAGUUGUCGUUCUGGGGCUACAGACCUCCGAAUGAGGUAUAAUUUAUAUGUAUGUCAAGCCCCAUUUGUGUACUUUCAGAUUAUAUAAAGUUUAU